rnacentral:tRNA from 1 species
CCCCCCAUAGUCUAGCGGCUAAGACGGCACACUUCCAAUGUAGGAGGCUCGGGUUCGAUCCCUGGUUGGGGAA